rnacentral:siRNA from 1 species
GAGCGGGUCGCCGCGUGCC